rnacentral:rRNA from 1 species
GGAUCCAGACUUUGAUUCUGGCUCAGGAUGAACGCUAGCUACAGGCUUAACACAUGCAAGUCGAGGGGAAACGAUAGAGAAAGCUUGCUUUUUCUAGGCGUCGACCGGCGCACGGGUGAGUAACGCGUAUCCAACCUGCCCAUCACUUGGGGAUAACCUUGCGAAAGUAAGACUAAUACCCAAUGACGUCUCUAGAAGACAUCUGAAAGAGAUUAAAGAUUUAUCGGUGAUGGAUGGGGAUGCGUCUGAUUAGCUUGUUGGCGGGGUAACGGCCCACCAAGGCGGCGAUCAGUAGGGGUUCUGAGAGGAAGGUCCCCCACAUUGGAACUGAGACACGGUCCAAACUCCUACGGGAGGCAGCAGUGAGGAAUAUUGGUCAAUGGGCGAGAGCCUGAACCAGCCAAGUAGCGUGCAGGAAGACGGCCCUAUGGGUUGUAAACUGCUUUUAUAAGGGAAUAAAGUGAGUCUCGUGAGACUUUUUGCAUGUACCUUAUGAAUAAGGACCGGCUAAUUCCGUGCCAGCAGCCGCGGUAAUACGGAAGGUCCGGGCGUUAUCCGGAUUUAUUGGGUUUAAAGGGAGCGUAGGCCGGAGAUUAAGCGCGUUGUGAAAUGUAGACGCUCAACGUCUGCACUGCAGCGCGAACUGGUUUCCUUGAGUACGCACAAAGUGGGCGGAAUUCGUGGUGUAGCGGUGAAAUGCUUAGAUAUCACGAAGAACUCCGAUUGCGAAGGCAGCUCACUGGAGCGCAACUGACGCUGAAGCUCGAAAGUGCGGGUAUCGAACAGGAUUAGAUACCCUGGUAGUCCGCACGGUAAACGAUGGAUGCCCGCUGUUGGUCUGAAUAGGUCAGCGGCCAAGCGAAAGCAUUAAGCAUCCCACCUGGGGAGUACGCCGGCAACGGUGCAACUCAAAGGAAUUGACG